GGGAAUUUUAAAGCGUUAAGUUAUUACGACAGAUAAAGUGUAGAACACAUUAAUCGUCACCGAAAAUGUGCGGUAUUCUAAACGGCAGCUGAGAUAAAAUUCCGACUAAAACAUGACUCAGGCGACGCUAAUAAACAAAUAGUUUACAUGUUUAUCGUAAAAAUUAUGAAAUAUCCGAUUUAUAUGAGUUUAUCUUACAAUUCCCCCGACUUCCAAUACAAAGCCGACUUCGGUAGUGGUGACUUCCAAUACACUUGUCCUCGUGCUUCUUGCGAGCAGAGAGCAUGCGCGUGGCAUGUUGUUAGUAUCGGUAUUGGUAUCGGAAGUCGAACUUAAACUCUCUAGUA